GUAGGUGAACCUGCGGAAGGAUCAUUAUUGAAUGAAUUUGGUGUGGUUGUCGCUGGCCUUCUUGGAGGCAUGUGCACACCUACCAUCCUCAUCUCUCCACCUGUGCACCUCUUGUAGAUUUGGAAUUGAUUAUCCGAGGCAACUCGGUCGUGAGGACUGCUAGCACUUAGCCGGCUUUCUUUGCAAUUCCAGGUCUAUGUUUUUCAUAUACCCCAUUGUAUGUAACAGAAUGUAUCAUUGGGCCUUGUGCCUAUAAACCUUAUACAACUUUCAGCAACGGAUCUCUUGGCUCUC
rnacentral:misc_RNA from 1 species